rnacentral:rRNA from 1 species
UAGGGAAUCUUCCGCAAUGGGCGAAAGCCUGACGGAGCAACGCCGCGUGAGUGAUGAAGGUCUUCGGAUCGUAAAACUCUGUUAUUAGGGAAGAACAAAUGUGUAAGUAACUAUGCACGUCUUGACGGUACCUAAUCAGAAAGCCACGGCUAACUACGUGCCAGCAGCCGCGGUAAUACGUAGGUGGCAAGCGUUAUCCGGAAUUAUUGGGCGUAAAGCGCGCGUAGGCGGUUUUUUAAGUCUGAUGUGAAAGCCCACGGCUCAACCGUGGAGGGUCAUUGGCAACUGGAAAACUUGAGUGCAGAAGAGGAAAGUGGAAUUCCAUGUGUAGCGGUGAAAUGCGCAGAGAUAUGGAGGAACACCAGUGGCGAAGGCGACUUUCUGGUCUGUAACUGACGCUGAUGUGCGAAAGCGUGGGGAUCAAACAGG